rnacentral:tRNA from 1 species
GGCCCUGUAGAGCAGUUUGGAGUGCUCGCCACCCUGUCACGGUGGAGGUCGCCGGUUCAAGUCCGGUCAGGGUCG